rnacentral:tRNA from 1 species
AGGGGUAUAGUUCAGUUGGUAGAACGACGGUCUCCAAAACCGUAUGUCGAGGGUUCAAGUCCUUCUGCCCCUG